GUUUGUCGCGUCUGCUGUGAAAUCCCGAGGCUCAACCUCGGGCUUGCAGUGGGUACGGGCAGACUAGAGUGCGGUAGGGGAGAUUGGAAUUCCUGGUGUAGCGGUGGAAUGCGCAGAUAUCAGGAGGAACACCGAUGGCGAAGGCAGAUCUCUGGGCCGUAACUGACGCUGAGGAGCGAAAGCAUGGGGAGCGAACAGGAUUAGAUACCCUGGUAGUCCAUGCCGUAAACGUUGGGCGCUAGAUGUAGGGACCUUUCCACGGUUUCUGUGUCGUAGCUAACGCAUUAAGCGCCCCGCCUGGGGAGUACGGCCGCAAGGCUAAAACUCAAAGGAAUUGACGGGGGCCCGCACAAGCGGCGGAGCAUGCGGAUUAAUUCGAUGCAACGCGAAGAACCUUACCAAGGCUUGACAUACACCGGAAACGGCCAGAGAUGGUCGCCCCCUUGUGGUCGGUGUACAGGUGGUGCAUGGUUGUCGUCAGCUCGUGUCGUGAGAUGUUGGGUUAAGUCCCGCAACGAGCGCAACCCUCGUUCUAUGUUGCCAGCGCGUUAUGGCGGGGACUCAUAGGAGACUGCCGGGGUCAACUCGGAGGAAGGUGGGGAUGACGUCAAAUCAUCAUGCCCCUUAUGUCUUGGGCUUCACGCAUGCUACAAUGGCCGGUACAAAGGGCUGCGAUACCGUAAGGUGGAGCGAAUCCCAAAAAGCCGGUCUCAGUUCGGAUUGAGGUCUGCAACUCGACCUCAUGAAGUCGGAGUC
rnacentral:rRNA from 1 species